AUUGAACGCUGGCGGCAGGCUUAACACAUGCAAGUCGAGCGAGCCGCGGACGGGUGAGUUAUGUCUGGGACACUGCCUUAUGGAGGGGGAUAACCACUGGACACGGUCGCUAAUACCGUAUACCAUCAUAUGUGCCCAGAUGGGAUUAGUUAGUGGGUGGGGUAAUGGCUCACCGAGGCGACGACCCCUAGCUGGUCUGAGAGGAUGACCAGCCAAACUGGAACUGAGACACGGUCCAGACUCCUACGGGAGGCAGCAGUGGGGAAUAUUGCACAAUGGGCGCAAGCCUGAUGCAGCCAUGCCGCGUGUGUGAAGAAGGCCUUCGGGUUGUAAAGCACUUUCAGCGAGGAGGCGUUACCCGCAGAAGAAGCACCGGCUAACUCCGUGCCAGCAGCCGCGGUAAUAC
rnacentral:rRNA from 1 species